rnacentral:rRNA from 1 species
UACGUAGGGUGCGAGCGUUGUCCGGAAUUAUUGGGCGUAAAGGGCUCGUAGGCGGUUUGUCGCGUCGGGAGUGAAAACCUCGGGCUUAACUCGGGGCUUGCUUUCGAUACGGGCAGACUGGAGGUAUGCAGGGGAGAACGGAAUUCCUGGUGUAGCGGUGAAAUGCGCAGAUAUCAGGAGGAACACCGGUGGCGAAGGCGGGUCUCUGGGUAGUAACUGACGCUGAGGAACGAAAGCGUGGGUAGCGAACAGG